rnacentral:rRNA from 1 species
CACGUAGUUAGCCGGGGCUGCUUAGUCAAGUACUGUCCCUCUUCUUCCUUGCUGAUAGAAGUUUACGAUCCGAAAAUCUUCUUCCUUCACGCGGCAUCGCUGCAUCAGGGUUCCCCCCAUUGUGCAAUAUUCCCCACUGCUGCCUCCCGUAGGAGUCUGGGCCGUGUCUCAGUCCCAAUGUGGCCGUCCAUCCUCUCAGACCGGCUACUGAUCGUUGCCUUGGUAAGCCCUUUACCUCCCCAACUAGCUAAUCAGUCGCGGGCCCAUCCUAUACCGUCUCGGCUUUUCCUACUAGUUCAUGCGAACCUGUAGGCUUAUGCGGUAUUAGCGUACAUUUCUAUACGUUAUCCCCCUGUAUAGGGUAGGUUACCCACGUUGUUACUCACCCGUCCGCCGCUAGAUCUACUUUCCCUUCCACGGCCGAACGCCUUUCCGACAAAACUCUCUCGCUCGACUUGCAUGUGUAAGCGUGCCGCCAGCGUUCAUCCUGACGCCAGGACUACAAACUCU